rnacentral:rRNA from 1 species
UACGUAGGGGGCAAGCGUUGUCCGGAGUUACUGGGCGUAAAGCGCACGCAGGCGGUCGAUUAAGUUUGGCGUGACAGUUGGUGGCUUAACUGCCAAAGUGCUUUGAAAACUGAUCGACUUGAGGGCUUCAGAGGGACACGGAAUUCCGGGUGGAGUGGUGAAAUGCGUAGAGAUCCGGAGGAACACCGAAGGCGAAGGCAGUGUCCUGGGGAGUACCUGACGCUCAGGUGCGAAAGCCAGGGGAGCGAACGGG